AUAUAUAUAUAUAUGUAUUAUUUGGGGUUUGAUAAUGUAUACAAUACUUAGAUUUCAUGUAAAUAAAAUAAUUUUACAUAUAUACAACAAAGUUCAAGCAUGAUAUUUAAUGUAAUUUAAUGUAUCUUCAAUUUUUUGGAUUUAAAACUAAUUCUCCUCGGUUCUGAAUUAGAAAAAGAGACGCACGCAUAAACCUCAUUGUCUUUGUACGCUUAAAAAGAAAUAUAGGCCCAAUGGAUUUUACUCUGUCACCUCAGCAUCUACUUCUCAACGAUUGUAUCCUCAUUCAAGUCAAUUACUGCGUAUGUGUGUGUGUGUGUGCGCGCGUGUCCAUAAUGUCGAGUGUUUAAAUCUUAAUCCUUGACUUUGUGAAGUCUUCGAUUAAUUCACAUUUUUUGCUUUUUAGUUUCUGUGUCAGACGAUGAAUUUGAAUGUAUCGUUAUUUAGGCAAACCUUUGCCUUGUGAUUACGUAGAGUGUUGGUGCUAAGAUUUUAAAGUGCCUAUCAUAGACUUGUUUUGUAAAGUAGCUAUAAAAGUAAAGUUGUUUUUUUCAACCCUAACCUAUUUAACAUAUAAUUUAAUUUUUAGACCUAGAUCUAGAAACUGAUCAUCAAAAAAAGAGUACUCUCGUCUCAUAAUUAUUAUUUUGCAUUUUUUAGUUACAUAAUGUAGAAAGAUCUAUGCAUUCAAUCUAUUUAAAUAUUCAUAAGAUGAUUAAAAUUAACAGACAUGAAUUAUUUCGAUCUAGGAUUUUUUGAAACAUUAUCUCAAUGGAAACUAGCAGGAAAUGGCUUUGUUUCAUAUAUCAGCGUGAAUAUAUAGUUCUGUGAUUAAUAGCCCAUUCUAAAAAAAA